CAUGAUACACUUAUCUUUCACAUACCUGGUGCCUUUCCAAUAAAGCUUCAGCUCCAGUCACAUCCUUUGCAAGUUCAUCUGAGGAGACCAGGCCCCGGAUUCCAUUGAUCCAAGACAUAAGGUCCCUGUGAACACACAUUAAUAGGGAAUUUUUCCAUCCCUCCACUGAAAGAAGUCAGAACAGGGAAAACAGUCCUUUUCUGAACCACCCCAGAAAUGUUCCUGUGGAACAAUAAGCCACAUAUACUUCACUAAUAAUAAAACAGACAAAUUGAGGAGGGGAAUCUUUACCUGAAGUCACUGAGGAAACGCUGCAGGUCAUGAGAAUCUCCAAGCUUCUCUUUGCGCUGGUCAGCACGUUUUCCCAGACUAUUCCAAGCCUGAUUCAGCUCAGUACAUUUUUCUUGGAGAUCUUCAGCAGAUUCCGGGUGUGACUGGAUGAGACGCUGGGCAGUUUCACCAAGAGAAUUCACCUGGAAUUAGAGAAAAGGAAAUAAUGAAGACAGACAGAAACUUUGCUUUAGUUCACUCAUUUCUGCUGGAGAAAAAGAAAGCUUUUGGGCUUGUCCUCCUCACAAAUCUCACCUUGUCUCCCAGAGCUGCCAGGUCUCUCUCAAAGCCUUCAUGCUUUCGCUGCAGAGCCUGAACACUGGCCAGGUCAUGCCCAUAGUUGUCUGUAUUUAAUGCCUGAUUCUUCUCUUCUAUCCAUUCUUUGGUUUCAUCAGCAUCUCUGGUUUGAAGGAAGGGAAGGCAAAAGACCAUUAAAACAGAGCUCAUACCAGGACCUCUGAUACCUGCAGGUUGCCAAUAUCUAGAGAAGCUCAUGUAGUUAAUGCUCUAUUAAAUAUUUCCCAAAAUGACACAAGUGAACUUUGGCAAAAUAGGAGACUAGUCCAGACCUCCCAAGCCCACAGCAAUUCCAUGUUUCCAGUGUUAACAAGCCUUUCUUUUCCUAGUAAAAUAUAAAGAGUUCUUGUUGGACCACCUUCCACUGAACAAGCUGGGAGUUGAAAUAAGAUUAGAACAAGCCCCACUAUAUUUUAGAGCUCUUAACAGUCAAAAGCAUUUGAGUGAGUCACGACUAAAUAUGAUACAAACACCUCACCUGUGGAAUCUCUGGACCUCAUGGGCACUGCCCAACAACUGGCUCCUCUCCUCUGCCAACUGCUGCAGAGACCUCCAGCGCUCAUUCAGCUCCUGAGGAAGAGGAGAAGAAAGUCAAGGCUGGCCUUUCACCGCAGGUGACAGCAAUUCCAUUGUAAGUCAGUAAUGAAUGGAGAAAGGCUUCUUCUAACUAUUGAAGAAAAUGAGCUGGAGAUGACUACUGGAAGACAAAUACAGCAUAUUCCUUACUAAAGGAAUAUUGACAGAAAUGGUUUUGACUGUCAGGAAUGAAAACCUCUUUGAUGUAGCAAGCAGAAAGAAAAGAAUUCAUGCAAAGUGAACAGAGAUUAUUUCAGAACUAGUGGCCAUGCAGUACCUAAAAAUGUUGGUAUAAAAACUGGAAUCAGUCUUAAGAGUACAAGCUCAAACCAAAAUAGUUUUGCAGCAGAGAGGUAAAAGCAGACUGUUGGCAAUUUCUGUGGCACAGAAGUGUAUGGUCCAAAAAAAGAUGAUGUGCUGUAGUUUUGGUUUUAUUUUCCUGUUGUUGCUGCUAAGUGAUGACACCUACCUUCCAGGGAGAGGCUGUCUUAGAAUCAGUUUCAUCCUGUUUAAAAAUGUGAAGAAACAGCUUUAAAUGUGAAGCAGAAUCUAAAACUAUCAGAAUAUAUUAAAAAAUAAAAAAUCUUUGAAAGAU